rnacentral:rRNA from 1 species
UACGUAGGGUGCGAGCGUUGUCCGGAAUUAUUGGGCGUAAAGGGCUCGUAGGCGGUCUGUCACGUCGGGAGUGAAAACACGGGGCUUAACCCCGUGCCUGCUUCCGAUACGGGCAGACUAGAGGUAUGCAGGGGAGAACGGAAUUCCUGGUGUAGCGGUGAAAUGCGCAGAUAUCAGGAGGAACACCGGUGGCGAAGGCGGGUCUCUGGGUAGUAACUGACGCUGAGGAACGAAAGCGUGGGUAGCGAACAGG